rnacentral:rRNA from 1 species
CAGUAGCCGCGGUAACACAGAGGGUGCGAGCGUUAAUCGGAUUUACUGGGCGUAAAGCGUGCGUAGGCGGCUUUUUAAGUCGGAUGUGAAAUCCCUGAGCUUAACUUAGGAAUUGCAUUCGAUACUGGGAAGCUAGAGUAUGGGAGAGGAUGGUAGAAUUCCAGGUGUAGCGGUGAAAUGCGUAGAGAUCUGGAGGAAUACCGAUGGCGAAGGCAGCCAUCUGGCCUAAUACUGACGCUGAGGUACGAAAGCAUGGGGAGCAAACAGGAUUAGAUACCCGCGUAGUCCCUGUCUCUUAUAC